GACGAACGCUGGCGGCGUGCUUAACACAUGCAAGUCGAACGGAAAGGCCCUGCUUGUGUGGGGUGCUCGAGUGGCGAACGGGUGAGUAACACGUGAGUAACCUGCCCUUGACUUUGGGAUAACUUCAGGAAACUGGGGCUAAUACCGGAUAGGAGCUCCUGCUGCAUGGUGGGGGUUGGAAAGUUUCGGCGGUUGGGGAUGGACUCGCGGCUUAUCAGGUUGUUGGUGGGGUAGUGGCUUACCAAGGCUUUGACGGGUAGCCGGCCUGUGAGGGUGACCGGCCACAUUGGGCCUGAGAUCCGGCCCAGACUCCUACGGGGGGCAGCAGUGGGGAAUAUUGCACAAUGGGCGGAAGCCUGAUGCAGCAACGCCGCGUGCGGGAUGACGGCCUUCGGGUUGUAACCCGCUUUCGCCUGUGACGAAGCGUGAGUGACGGUAAUGGGUAAAGAAGCACCGGCUAACUACGUG
rnacentral:rRNA from 1 species